GACGAACGCUGGCGGCGUGCUUAACACAUGCGAGUCGAACGGACCCUUUGGGGUUAGUGGCGAACGGGUGAGUAACACGUGGGUGAUCUGCCCUGCACUUUGGGAUAAGCCUGGGAAACUGGGUCUAAUACCGGAUAGGACUACGCACUGCAUGGUGUGUGGUGGAAAGCUUUUGCGGUGUGGGAUGGGCCCGCGGCCUAUCAGCUUGUUGGUGGGGUGAUGGCCUACCAAGGCGACGACGGGUAGCCGGCCUGAGAGGGUGACCGGCCACACUGGGACUGAGAUACGGCCCAGACUCCUACGGGAGGCAGCAGUGGGGAAUAUUGCACAAUGGGCGCAAGCCUGAUGCAGCGACGCCGCGUGAGGGAUGACGGCCUUCGGGUUGUAAACCUCUUUCGCCAGGGACGAAGCGCAAGUGACGGUACCUGGAGAAGAAGGACCGGCCAACUACGUGCCAGCAGCCGCGGUAAUACGUAGGGUCCGAGCGUUGUCCGGAAUUACUGGGCGUAAAGAGCUCGUAGGUGGUUUGUCGCGUUGUUCGUGAAAACUCACAGCUUAACUGUGGGCGUGCGGGCGAUACGGGCAGACUGGAGUACUGCAGGGGAGACUGGAAUUCCUGGUGUAGCGGUGGAAUGCGCAGAUAUCAGGAGGAACACCGGUGGCGAAGGCGGGUCUCUGGGCAGUAACUGACGCUGAGGAGCGAAAGCGUGGGGAGCGAACAGGAUUAGAUACCCUGGUAGUCCACGCCGUAAACGGUGGGUACUAGGUGUGGGUUUCCUUCCUUGGGAUCCGUGCCGUAGCUAACGCAUUAAGUACCCCGCCUGGGGAGUACGGCCGCAAGGCUAAAACUCAAAGGAAUUGACGGGGGCCCGCACAAGCGGCGGAGCAUGUGGAUUAAUUCGAUGCAACGCGAAGAACCUUACCUGGGUUUGACAUGCACAGGACGCCGGCAGAGAUGUCGGUUCCCCUGUGGCCUGUGUGCAGGUGGUGCAUGGCUGUCGUCAGCUCGUGUCGUGAGAUGUUGGGUUAAGUCCCGCAACGAGCGCAACCCUUGUCUCAUGUUGCCAGCACGUUAUGGUGGGGACUCGUGAGAGACUGCCGGGGUCAACUCGGAGGAAGGUGGGGAUGACGUCAAGUCAUCAUGCCCCUUAUGUCCAGGGCUUCACACAUGCUACAAUGGCCGGUACAAAGGGCUGCGAUGCCGUGAGGUGGAGCGAAUCCUUUCAAAGCCGGUCUCAGUUCGGAUCGGGGUCUGCAACUCGACCCCGUGAAGUCGGAGUCGCUAGUAAUCGCAGAUCAGCAACGCUGCGGUGAAUACGUUCCCGGGCCU
rnacentral:rRNA from 1 species